UGAAACCAUAGUGACAGAGAAGGCAAAUGUUGGUCGGACUCUGGAAGGAAGAAAGGAAAACUGGCCCAUUCGCAAAAAUGGGGGGGAUGCAGUAGUAACAAGAAGCCAGCAGGGAUGGAAUGGUCUCUAGGUGUGGUGGGAGCAUUAGUGCAAAGGAUUAUCAGCCCAUUGGAACUGUUGAAAGAGGGCAAGAGGAAGAGAUGAUGACAGAGCACAAAAGGAGACAAACACUGAGACCCAUCCAGAAGAUUUGUUAAUUAAGAAAGGAGUUAACUAAGAAACCAGAGGCACAACUGAAAACACUACAAAAAAGCUGUGAGAUCCUCAACACCUGAAUGAGCAUAACACUAGUUCAUUAUAUGGGUGGGAAUCAGCUGGGACCUGACACUUUGUUAUUAUUUCCAUAUUUGGGUUGUGAUUUGAUUCAAUUAUUUAUGUUUAGUGUAUUGCAAUUGUAAUAUUUUACUCACUUGUUUCACAUUCAUCUUCAUUGGACUUUGGUGCUUUGUACAACACAUCCUGAGCUUUCUCCUAUACUUGAGAGCAUACGCAUUUCAGUGUUAGUAAACAAAUCAAUGUGAGGGAAUAUUGCACUUUUGUUCCAGUGUGUUUAUCAUUACACAAAAACCUUGUAGUCUAGCUGUACGUACCAUCAGUACAGACCUCGUUACAAACGAAACAAGUUAUAGGCGUCAUUCUUAGCCUGUUCGGAGUUUGCAUUUUGUUCGAACAGAAAUAAUGGAGAGUUCAUGACAUAAUAAUGUCACAGUAUGUUUUGUCUUUUCACACUAUGAGUGGUUAAAGGGAUAGUUCACCCAAAAAUGAAAAUUCUCUCAUAAUUUACUCACCCUCAUACCAUCCCAGAUGUGUAUGACUUUCUGUCUUCUGCAGAAAGCAAAUCAAGAUUUUUAGAAGAAUAUCUUUGCUUUGUGUCUGUAAAAUGCAAGUGAAUCCAUGUCUUCUGAAACAAUCCAAUCGUUUUUGGGUGAGAAUAGACCAAAAUGCAACUUCUUCUUUCCCUGUACAUUUUGCUACUGCAGUCUCUAGGCACGAUCAUGAUUUCAAGCUCGAUUACACUUCCUAGUGCUUGACGCAUGCAAAGAGAGCAAGAUGGCGCUAGGAAGUGUAAUCAAUCUUGAAAUCAUAAUCGCCAAGGAUAUUGCUGAUGUCAAGAUUUACAGUGAAAAAAUAGUUACGUUUUGGUCUGUUCUCCCACAAAAUCAAUUGGAUCCCUUCUGAGGAUAUGGAUUUAACCACUGGAGUCUUAUGGAUAAAUGUUAUGCUGCUUUUAUGUGCUUUUUAGAGCUUCAAAUAUUUGGUCAACAUUCACUUGCAUUGUAUGGACCAACAGAGCUUAAAUAUUCUUCUAAAAAUCUUUGUUUGAGUCCUGCACAAAAAAGAUGCAGUGAUGCAGUUUUGUAAGGCAAAAUAUUGCAAUACUCGGAAAUAUUAAUUUUUACCCCCUCCUCUGUUUAUUAUUGCACUGAUAAUAAAAAAUAAAAAAAAAAUUUCCCUUUAGUUCUUUAUCUGAUUUUGUUUCCUAACAGCAUUGUUUUCCAAAGUAUGCAGUACUGGAGAACGUUUUUGAAAUGCUCAUUUUCGAUUGAGGGAAAUGCUGUUUCAGUGAGGAUUAGAUGAGAUGACAACAAAGAUGGGAAGAGUCAGGUUUAAGCCAAAAAAGAGAAGCAAAGUAAUAAACAAAAUUCCUUAAUAAGUGGGAAAAGAAUAAGUGAAUGAAGCUAGUGACUGAGGGUGACAAUAGAAAUCCCUGAGCUGACGAGUUGGAGGGUCACAGAGGAUUAGUAGGCCUCCGGUUUCCACUAUAGCUUGUCCUGUUUCAGGGCACACAGAGCUAACACGGGCCAGGAAACUUGGUCUCACACACUAGCAGCACACUACACUCAGCACAUGCACACAAUCCUGAAAUCAACUCCUCUCAUGUGAGACCUUCAAUAUACUGUAUACAGAACAUCUAGUUGUGGGAAAAAGCGUG